GCCUUGGUGGUUCAGUGGUAGAACUCUCCUUCCAUACACAAGACCUGGGUUCAAUUCCCAGCCAAUGUA
rnacentral:tRNA from 1 species